ensembl:lncRNA
GACACAGUUGUUUCCGAGACAGAAAAAUAACGCGGCCUAAAGGUGUCAUUCAUAACCGCCCUGCGCCUCCCACGCGGGCACGCGGGGGCGAGGACAGCUCACAUAUCUAUGGAUCAUGCGAUGACAAAUGUACCAGCGAACCCACGCUGCUGUUGCUGUAUUGACGGUGUUGGCAGCGUGUGUGGUCUGAGAUUGAUGAGUUUGAGCUCAACCGGUCUGUAUAACUGACUUAACGCACACUGACAUAAAGCAGAGAGUUGUUUCACACCAUCCGGCUCGCUUGGUGUGAAAUAGCAGCGGGCUGUCUGAUGUGUGCUGGGACAAAUGUCUUGUCUUCUUCAAAGAUAGCAGCUUACUGGAUGAUGAGCAGGACAUUUCCCUGACAGCAAUUAGUGCUUCCUUCACGGCGAGUUAUAGAAACCUCACAAUUAUUCUGGAUCUCGACAAGAUCAAUGUCUGAUUCCCAAUAAUCAGACUUAACUGCAUUACGUUACAAUUUCACACGUCUUCUUCUAAAUGUUAAAAGGUAUAACGCGAGAGAGGAGGGGAGCGUCUCUGCAGACAGAGACAGAACCACAUGUUUUGCAUGUUACACCUUUUUAAGUCUGGUGUUUCUUUGAAAUAAUCACAGUUUUGCCAAAGAAGCACAGACGCUACAGUCGAUUCCUGUACAUCAAUGAAACAAAAAGGUAUUAUUCUCUUUAGAAAUCCCCUUCAGCUUUUUGUCAGCCUGCUGAGCGUUUUCUUUUCAAUAUGAAGUCAACGUUUCAUCGUCGUUGAUUUUCCUCAUUGAGAGAACGAUUGAUUUAUUUAUGUGAUGUAAUCCUUUUUGACGCCACUAUAACAACCAGGGCUCAAUAGAAGCCCUGCACUCUCUAUAAAACUUGAUGGCCCCAUUAUGUGAGGCUGAAUACAGGGCUUAAUGACGUUGACCUCUCGCUUUGCGGAGCCCCAGUGGAAGGUGGUGGUGUUGAGUGAGGAAGGACGUCCACAACAGCCUCCGCGUCAAAGCAGAUCAGUGAUUUCUGCCACGAAAACACCUUCUGAAUUGUCACCAUGGAAAUAAAAUCCAGAAAAGUUAGAAUUUACUCAGCCAAAUAUUACAGUGUUAUUGCCUGCAGUUUGUUUGUAGCAAAUGUAACAUACUAACAAACUGUUACAUAUGCAACACAGUUGAAAAAUAGCAAAUUUGCUUUACAUUUCCAUUCACGUAGCGCCAGAGAGACCUUGUCCCACUUACACUCUGACAACGUUAACGUGAAAUACAACCAGCGGGUGAAAAGCGUCACAGAGUCACUUUGUUUCAUCUCGACCAGGAAAGGAGGGAGAUUCGAACGAUGUGCCGUUGAUGAUGAUGAUGAUGACGAAUGAAAAGAAAGAAGAUGAGAAACAUUAUUGUUAGAACUGGCUGGAUGAAGCACAGCGCACUGCUCUGUUGCCUCCGGGGCUGAAUAGUCUCAGUCAGGCUCACUUUUCCUAAACUUACUUUCAAAUCUAGGGCCCACUUUUAAUUCCCAGACUUAAUGGCCCACACUUAAAGUGUUGUUAGUCACAGUAACCAGAGGAGCUUUGCCCGGUGGAGCGGCUGGUUGGGGCACAUUAACUCUGCAAGUUCAAGAGGUAGAGUCGAGAUCCAGAUGUGUGCGUGUGUCCCGUUGUCCAGGGUUAAAGGUUAAACAAACACACAACGUGGUUGUGCACUGAGCCUGUGUGCACGAUCCCUUUCGUAAAGGUUUAACGCGUCAAAGUAAAACAAAGCACGAGGCGUUAAAUAAGGCUGCACAUCCCCUGCUAUUUCUUUCCCUUUAACCAAUGCUUCACCCGAAACACUUAAACCCUUUUGCUAUUAUUUCCUUUCAAAAGCAAAGCGCUGCAUCAGUCUUGGUGUUGAUGUGAAUCAUUUAAAGGUCGUUGUUUGGGAUCUUUGAAUAUGAGGUUUGAAUUAAAGCAUCUUAAGAAGACGUGGCAGCACAUUCAUUUUUGAUCACGGCUCUGGUACAGUUGGAUGCCUCCGAAAGCUUUUUGCCUGUGUGUGUGUGUGUGUGUGUGUGUUUGUUUGUGUGUGAGAGAGAUUAAAGAGAGUGGUUGAUCGCUCUGGAAGGCUGCAGAGCACCAGCCGGACGGCUUGGAUGUGCUGAAGGCCGCUUUCAGGGUGAAAACGCCGCUGUUGGUGGACCUUUUAACUUUGUCUUUUAUCAAGGAACUCAAAAGCCCACGGUUAUGCAAAUGAGAACAUGCACAUGGAAAACCUCACGCACCAAACACACACACACACACAGAGGCGGCGGCCUCUUGCAGAUGGGGUCGACCCGGCACUGUCGUGGCUGCAGGAGCGCGUGGCGGACGGUGACAUCCUGGUGAAUGCCCCUUCGCCACUGCUGACCACGGUCAUGGACAGUGUGGAUUCAGGGUUCCUCCUUUGCUCUCACCCCCCCUCCCCCCAAACAGUAGAGAUGGAUCCGAUGUGUAACGUGAUGCAGCGCUGGGCCGACCUGUGCGUGCCUGCCAUGUGUCGACUCAGCAGAGAUGAACCCGAGAACGCCCGACAGCACAGCUGCAUUUGAUUUUGUUUUUGAACAGUGGCCUGAAUUCUUGAUUUUGUUUUAAAUAAAUGACAUUUCUAGCAUAAAUGUCUGCAUCCAAAUGGACGAGGAUGCAGGAAAUAUGGGGUUUGACACUCCGAAUGUCCGGUGGUUGGACCUCCGUAACUCUUCAUCCGCCCCAAAAUGUUAAAACGAAACCUUGAGUUUAGCUCAUUUUAAAGCAGAGCUAAAAAUAUAGGAAAUGAUGAAUGCGUCUUGUGGAAGUGUCCACUGAUUCACAGACAUCAAAGCCUGCACAGCUCUCAACUUCAUUUACUGCUCCCCGAAUGUGACACAUCUCCUCUGUUCUUCCAUUCUCUUCGACGGUAAUCCGCACUUUCAAAUUCACACCACACCACAACAUGCUUUGUGUUAUUAGUCCCAACCGGAAUGAAGUCAUGGUGUUGGGGGCCCAUCUGGCUCAGCCACAGUAAACCAACAAAACCAACCAGUCAGCCUCAAGCACACUUAUACUUUAACACGUGGAUAAUUGCCAACUGACAGAGAAAAGGGGCAAAUUGCACUCAGCUGCAUAUCUUUUGUGUAUUGAAUUAUGAGCAAAUAUCUGAUGCAAAAGAUGCACAAUUGAGCACAAGUCCACAAUACAUUAUGUAUGCAUGUGCAUGUUAUUUGUAGUAAAUGCCCCAGACAUUUGACCUCAAAAGCAUAGGUAUGGUUCCUUCUGACUGCAUUUGUAAUGAAAACACAAAGCUUUCCCAGGGGAUGGAUGCAUAAGUUCACCUCAGUUUGCUAUGUUACAGGAAGAAGAGUCUAAGAACUACGAGCUGUUUUUCUUCCCAGAUGAGCCUCCACUGCAAUGUCAUGCCGAAGUGAUGCAUAGCAGCAGCGUUGGGUACUCGGAAAAUAAGAAAAUAUAAUGCAUUAAUGUCACCGGUGACAUCUUAUUAUCAGAUGUGCAACUCAUUGGGGGUAGCAUGAUGCUAACACCUUCAGCUGCCACACUACUCAACCGCUGAGCAACCCCAACAUCUAUUGCUUGUGCCAGAUAACGUUACCUUAUAGUCACUAAACAGCUUUAAAUAAGACAACAAAAACAGUUCAUUGUUCCUCUAAAUGACAACGACUCUCGCAGCAGUGAAGGAAAUCACGUCGGGGCGAUCGACCGCCAGCUAUUGAUUCAAUAAUUGUUUGUGACUGCAGAAACGAGUAGUGGGACAGAAAACUGCUUCUGGCAAAAGACGGCUUGAAUGUCAGUCCGGGAGCUGCAAGCACAUCUGCCCCCCCAUGAGAGGCUCCCAGGGCUCACGCUGGUGGACCAGACCAGAAGCUCGUGUGCGUCCGUGUCAACAAACACAUCUUUGUAAACAAGGAACAAAAUCAACUCUUACACUCUUCCGAACAAUCUCUUCUUAAGUCGGCAGAAGGAUGCCGGGGUCUAUCAAGUUUUUAGUUGAAUGGUUGGUGUAGUUAAACACAGACAACUAUGUAUUAAAUAUCGAUUUGAGGUGGGUUUGGGUUUAUCUUCAAAAGGCAAAAAAAAACAAAAAAUCAAGCACACCUUUUGUGUUCGUCUUGUCUGUGAGUCAUCAGUUACCAUGGUACCCUAUUCAAUGGAAGUUUAUGGAAAUUUAUGGACUGAUCAACGUUAUUAAUGUGCGAGGGGUUUGUAGAAGAACUCAACGAACUUCCUCCCCUGACUCCACGUCGUGAUAUAUAUGACACGCUGUACGUACAUUCUGAGCACGCAAAUCCCUCCGGUGAGACGGCACACGUUAGGUCUCUUCACCAAAUACGUGCAUGUACCAUGUUACUAAAUGUUGAGCGACGUGCUAAUGUAUGUAUACCCACUCACGAAUAGCUGAUAGGUCAACUUGUUUAAUACCCCUGGUUUUCAAAUUGAUUUAGAGUCCACGGGAACGGCGUAGGGGCCAAUAUGUCUGAGGUCAGAAUAUAUGCAGCAUCACAAUAUCUCCAGAGCUUCCGAAUGAUUCACAUGGCGUCAUUUUGGAUGAAUAAACAGCUUUUUUUUUCCUUUUUUUUUUUUUACAAAAGAUGUGUUUCCUCUCAAUAAGCAGAAAGAGAGAUGGAGCGAGAUAUUGCCCGAGUCAAUUCCCGCUCCGUCCUGCCCUGCAGCUUGUCUCCAUUAUCAGCUGCCCAUCUCAGUGCUGUCUAAAUGAUUUCACAAGCUGAGUAAAUAAAGACAUCUCUCACCAGAAGAAGGGCGAGGGAGGGGUGGGGUGGGGCCCCGUUCCUGCACUGCUCGAUUUGACCACCGGGGGAUGCUGUGUCAGUGAGAGAUACUGUAAUAAAGCGCCUCAGACCCCUGUAAGACAGAAAAACCUGCCCAUUUCUCUGCAUUGCCUCACACGCGUCAAUGGCUCGCCUUGGUUCGUUCUUCUAAAGAAUCUCUUAGCUUUUGUCAAGUGUCUCACUUUUGUGAGGGUCAAACUGCAGCCCCCCACUUGAAAGGGCAGCUUGCUAAGAAGUGUAGACUGGAUUCCACUCAAUGACCAAGAUUCGGACUUCUUUGCUUUCUUGCUUUUUAUUUUUAAAAUUGUCCAGGUCAAACCA